CCAGUUUUCCGAGGAUU
rnacentral:miRNA from 1 species